AUUGGGUUUAUGAACUUUUUUCAGUCGGCCUCUGUCUUCUAAAUGGUCUGCAGCCAGCCCAGCAAGUUUUGCAGGCAGAGUUUCAGGCAGCAGCAAGGGUGUUCCAAGCCCUGGAACCCUGCAGAGGUCUCGCAGUGACAUCGACGUCAACGCUGCCGCAGGCGCGAAGGCCCGGCACGCUGCUGGGCAGGCAGCUGGGGCUGGGCGCUUGUCAGCUGCUGGUCUGCCUCCAGGAUCCUACGCUUCCCUAGAGGAUACUUCUGACAAGAUGGAUGGAACAGCUUCUGAAGAUGGUAAGAAAAUAUUUUGUUAGACUAGUUAAUAUUUUCAGCUUCAUAUUUUCAUUGAUACAAAUUAAGCUUUAAAAGUAGAAUAUGGUCUUUCUGGGGCUUUGUGGAGGUUCAUAACAGACAGCUUAUGCAUCUAAUACUUGGUUGUCAUGUAGUAUUUUUAAAAUUCUUUUGCUUUUAAUUCUCAAGUAAUUUUCAUUUGCAGUGUAAGUGUCAUUGCUUAACAUUCCUACUGUCAAAAUGU